GGGUAGUUAGCUCAGUUGGUAGAGCAGUUGACUUUUAAUCAAUUGGUCGCAGGUUCGAAUCCUGCACGACCCACCA
rnacentral:tRNA from 5 species